GUGGGGAAUCUUGCGCAAUGGGCGAAAGCCUGACGCAGCAACGCCGCGUGGGGGAAGAAGGCCUUAGGGUUGUAAACCUCUGUCGGGAGGGACGAAGCCACCUGCGUUAAUAGCGUAAGGGGUGACGGUACCUCCAAAGGAAGCCCCGGCUAACUACGUGCCAGCAGCCGCGGUAAUACGUAGGGGGCAAGCGUUGUCCGGAUUUAUUGGGCGUAAAGAGCGUGUAGGCGGCCUGUCAAGUCUGAUGUGAAAUCUUGCGGCUUAACCGCAAGCCUGCAUUGGAAACUGUCAGGCUAGAGUCUGGAUGAGGAAGAUGGAAUUCCUGGUGUAGCGGUGAAAUGCGCAGAUAUCAGGAGGAACACCGGUGGCGAAGGCGGUCUUCUAGGACAGUACUGACGCUGAGACGCGAAAGCGUGGGGAGCAAACAGGAUUAGAUACCCGAGUAGUCC
rnacentral:rRNA from 1 species